GCCUUAGUUAUAAUUGUAAUUAAGAACUCAUACAUCUUGUAAGGGAUUUGUAACUAUUUGUUCCGCUGUAUACAUCUAUUUAUUAUGCACUCAUAAUCUAUUUCUGUAUCUGACACUCUUAUGCCUUAAUUAGUAUUUGGGAUGUCAUAUAUAGUAUCAGAGCAAUUACACGAAAUAAUCCCUUACAGUUGAGGCUAUAGUUAG
rnacentral:lncRNA from 1 species